UACGGAGGGUGCAAGCGUUAAUCGGAAUUACUGGGCGUAAAGCGCGCGUAGGCGGUUUGUUAAGUUGGAUGUGAAAGCCCAGGGCUUAACCUUGGAAUUGCAUCCAAAACUGGCAGGCUAGAGUACAGUAGAGGGGGGUGGAAUUCCCGGUGUAGCGGUGAAAUGCGUAGAGAUCGGGAGGAACACCAGUGGCGAAGGCGGCCCCCUGGACUGAUACUGACGCUGAGGUGCGAAAGCGUGGGGAGCAAACAGG
rnacentral:misc_RNA from 1 species